AGUGAACGCUGGCGGUAGGCCUGACACAUGCAAGUCGAACGGCAGCACAGAGGAGCUUGCUCCUUGGGUGGCGAGUGGCGGACGGGUGAGGAAUACAUCGGAAUCUACUCUGUCGUGGGGGAAAACGUAGGGAAACUUACGCUAAUACCGCAUACGACCUACGGGUGAAAGCAGGGGAUCUUCGGACCUUGCGCGAUUGAAUGAGCCGAUGUCGGAUUAGCUAGUUGGCGGGGUAAAGGCCCACCAAGGCGACGAUCCGUAGCUGGUCUGAGAGGAUGAUCAGCCACACUGGAACUGAGACACGGUCCAGACUCCUACGGGAGGCAGCAGUGGGGAAUAUUGGACAAUGGGCGCAAGCCUGAUCCAGCCAUACCGCGUGGGUGAAGAAGGCCUUCGGGUUGUAAAGCCCUUUUGUUGGGAAAGAAAUCCAUCUGGUUAAUACCCGGGUGGGAUGACGGUACCCAAAGAAUAAGCACCGGCUAACUUCGUGCCAGCAGCCGCGGUAA
rnacentral:rRNA from 1 species